GUGCCGCCCCUCAGGGGCGUGAUGCAGCCGCUGUUCCCUCCGGCGGCCGGGUCGGUAGCGAUGCUGCGGGUAGCGGUGCGGGGCUGCCCGCUGCCGGGGCUGCUGCUGUUGUGGGCGCUGUGCGGGGCGGCGGCCCGGCCGUCGGCGGCUCCGCUGCUGUGUAACGUGAGCUUGGACAGCCCGGCCGAGGAGCGCUGGCUGCCGGUGCUGCGGCACUUCGAGCCCGCCUUCCUGCGAGCCGCCGUCGCCCGGGUCAUCGACGAAACCGUGCCGAAAUGGUUCCACGACGUCAUUCGUCCGAUAGCGGCGGAGCUCGAGUCCUACAUGCCGCAGCCCUUCGCCGGGGAAAUCCGAGGGCUGUGCGAGGCGCUGGGGGUCAGUCUGGGAGACGGAGUGCUGCUCAACUUCGCCUACGAGUCUACGGCGUUUUGCACGAGUAUCAUCGCUCAGGAUGACAGAGGAAACAUUUACCACGGGCGGAACCUGGAUUAUGAUUUUGUAGAUCUGUUAAGCAAGAUCACCAUCGACGUGCAGUUUAUAAGAAGCGGGCAGAUAGCAUAUCGGGGCACGACGUUUCUUGGCUACGUAGGUUUAUGGACUGGGCAAAGUCCUCACAAGUUCACAAUCUCUGGUGAUGAACGAGAGGGUGGUAGCUGGUGGGAAAAUGCAAUAGCUGCGUUUCUGAAUCGAAAUUACCCUGUCAGCUGGCUUAUCCGAGAUACCCUGAGCAGAGCAGAGGACUUUCAGUCAGCUGUUCUCAGACUAGCUGACAUUCCCAUCAUUGCUGAAGUUUACUAUAUUGUAGGAGGCGUAUCGCCCAAAGAAGGCAUGGUCAUAACAAGAAAUAGAAGAGGGCCAGCAGACCUCUGGCCUCUCGAUCCUUUAAGUGGAGCAUGGUUUCGUGUGGAGACAAACUAUGACCAUUGGACUACCCCUCCUCCUCGUGAUGACCGAAGAACGCCAGCCAUGAAAGCUCUCAAUGCUACUGGACAGCAGAACAUCAAUUUUGAUACACUCUUUCAGGUACUGUCAGUGAAGCCAGUCUUAAAUAAUAACACAGUGUAUACUACAGUGAUGAGUGCUGCGUUUCCAGAGAAGUACCAGACAUGGAUCAGAACUAUGGAGUGAAGUAAAUAACAUGCUGGUGUCUAACUAUGACAGGAACUCCUGCUGGUGGCGAGCUGAACCUGAGCAGGUGAUGUUCAGCACUUGGCACAAGCAAAGAUCGAGCUUAAUCUGUGUCAGUCGCUCACAGCCAACUGAACAUCAGCAUCCUUUGAGAUUUUUGUCCUGUCAACUUACAGAAAAAGUCAAAGUGCUUCAGCUCGCACAGUGCCUCAUGUGGCAGCUUCACUGUGUUCAAAGGAAGAUAUCAAAUCACGUCAUUUCUUCCAAGAAUCUCUGGUUGUGUGGACCUGGUAGGACCAUAAUUGAAUAGGAGAAAAGUUGAAGCUUUCCAAGACCAGCAAAUGCUUUUAAAAGCACUCCCAAAAGCAGUGCAGCUGUUUUGGAUUACUAAUUGAGUGAACCAUUCACGCAAUAAAGACUUGCUAGUUCUAUAAAGUGUUGCAGAUUAUACUGUUAAUGAACUGUAAUGGAAGUUUGAUUUUGUUUUAAUUAUAUUGAUGUUCUAGCAGAUAUUGAUAGCUAAAAUUUGCUAUUAUUAUUUUUGGGAAGAAUUGUGCAAUUUGAACAUACUCAUUUACUGACUGGUAAAUAAAAAGAUCUGUUUUGUGUGGAAUGUAGGUGUGAGCAUAAUGAAAUAAAAACGUGCUGCCGAUUGCUUGAUUUAUGGA